UCGAUGUUAGUCAUCUAACUGUCAACCAAAUUAUCCUUGGUAGAUAAAAGCUUCAAUUUUAUCUUUUAGUUGGAUGCAUUCCUCAGUAUCAUGAUCAUAAUCCUCAUGGAAACAACAAUACUUUCAGAGAUUCUUGACAUGUGAGGGAGUCUUUAUCUACUUUGUCCAUUGAAGAUAUUUCAGACAGUCUAUUUCCAUCA
rnacentral:lncRNA from 1 species